GCGCUCGUAGCUCAGCUGGAUAGAGCAGUGGACUUCUAAUCCACCGGUCGCAGGUUCGAGUCCUGCCGGGCGCA
rnacentral:tRNA from 2 species